CAAGACGCUGACAUGGGCACUACGUACAAACGCGCACACGGACGACAGCUAUACAAGUAGAUUAGCAUCCGCGUGUGUACACAGGAAAUGAUCUUUUUACCCAGGGUAGUGACAGUGCACUGACUCGAUCGAUUUUGAUCUUGUGCCUCUUUUGACUAGCAAGUGCGUUUAAACCGAAAGCGGAAGGGCACAGCAUCGCUCGUCUCCAAACAAUGCGAAGCGGAAUUGUUACUUCAUUGUGGUCUUGUAUUGAAAUUUAUUACAUUGAGGCUGGUCGGUGUAUGGCCCUACUGGAUGUAGACUACACUCAAGUGGAAGGUGACAUCAUUACGUUACAAUCGACCAGGUCUGUGGGCCACAUGGUGGCGAAGUUGAAGAAGGUUAAUGAGGUAGAAGAGGACACCUGAUGAGGGGGAUGUCCUGGAUAGUGCAACAGGUCUUAGGAAAGCCUGGUCGGAGCAGCUCCUCUGUGCAUGUUACAUUGUAGGUCCUGCAGGCAUGACACGGGACAGCUCAUAGUGAAUAAUUCUACAAUCUGAGAUGUGACAGCAUGUGGGCACUUUUCUCAAAUGAAAUAAGGAUUACUUGCCAGUUCUCCACAGGACAAACGUGGUGAUUCAUUACAGCCAUGGCGUACCUGCGGAGUAAACAACACGAUUUCAAGAAAAUUAUGACAAGAGGUUACUCACAGCAGUUCAAAUAAACGUGUUGUAUAUUUUUGGUGAGCAGCAGCUGCAAAUUAA